rnacentral:rRNA from 1 species
UGGGGAAUUUUGGACAAUGGGCGCAAGCCUGAUCCAGCCAUGCCGCGCGCGGGAAGAAGGCCUUCGGGUUGUAAACCGCUUUUGUCAGGGAAGAAAUCUUCUGAGUUAAUACCUCGGGAGGAUGACGGUACCUGAAGAAUAAGCACCGGCUAACUACGUGCCAGCAGCCGCGGUAAUACGUAGGGUGCAAGCGUUAAUCGGAAAUACUGGGCGUAAAGCGUGCGCAGGCGGUUUUGUAAGACAGAGGUGAAAUCCCCGGGCUCAACCUGGGAACUGCCUUUGUGACUGCAAGGCUUGAGUGCGGCAGAGGGGGAUGGAAUUCCGCGUGUAGCAGUGAAAUGCGUAGAUAUGCGGAGGAACACCGAUGGCGAAGGCAAUCCCCUGGGCCUGCACUGACGCUCAUGCACGAAAGCGUGGGGAGCAAACAGGAUUAGAUACCCUGGUAGUCCACGCCCUAAAACGAUGUCAACUGGUUGUUGGGAAGGUUCCUUCUCAGUAACGUAGCUAACGCGUGAAGUUGACCGCCUGGGGAGUACGGCCGCAAGGUUGAAACUUAAAUGAAUUGACGGGGUCAU